UUCUUUCAGUCAUGAUAUAUCCUUAAUUUAUUGAACUUAAACUUGUUGGGCAAACUUAUGCUCACCAUUGCUAUAUCAUGAUAAAAAUUACAGAUUAAGAAGAAUGCGUCGGAUACAAGGAAAGGUUAAAGACAAGUCCAGCUUGGAAUUUUAUGUGCAGCUAGAAUUAUAACAGUAAUGUAUGAUAACAACGUUAUAUGUCAAAUAUGUUAUGAAUUGUGUAUUAGUUAAGGUUACUCGACCUUGGGGGAAUAGUGUGUAAAUUUUAAUGUAUAAACAAUUUUUGUUUAUAUCUUCUGCAAUAGUUGUAGAAAUAGUAUACCAGAUCCUUGGUGAUUAGGACUAGGAUUUGGGGCUGUUACACGGAGUGCCCACUAUUUUUCUGUGAUGUGUUCGCCAGAAUAAGAGUGAUCCUGGCAUACUCAAUUAGAAUUGAACUAUCUAGAACGGGGAUUGAUUGGAGGUAAAAAGGAUGUAAUUCUUCCUUCAUUGAUCAGCAUAUGAAAUAUCUCCUCCAUAGGUUGGCCAAGGUAUGUAAAAUCCCUCUUGUUGGCAAAAUCCCGACGGGCUUUGGCACUUGCUCUUUUUGCAAC
rnacentral:lncRNA from 1 species